rnacentral:rRNA from 1 species
ACCUAAAACACUAGCUUCUACACCAAUAGUAAAYUUUAAUCCAACAUCGAGGUCGCAAUCUUUUUUUUCGAUAAGAACUCUAAAAAAAAUUACGYUGUUAUCCCUAAGGUAAUUUAUUCUUAUAAUCUAAACUUUAGGGUCAUCCACUUACAAAUAAAUAUUUUCAUAUAAAAAAGUUAAUUAAAUUUUUCCAUCACCCCAACCAAAUACAUGUAUAAAAUAUAAACAAAUUCUCCCUUUAAACCUCAUAUUCUACUCCAUGUAUCAAACUCUAUAGGGUCUUCUCGUCUUCAAUAAAAAUUUAAGCUUUUUAACUUAAAAAUAAAAUUUUAAUAAAUUUCACUAGAGACAGCUAUUUCCUCAUCAAACCUUUCAUACAAGCUCCCAAUUAAAAAACUAAUGAUUAUGCUACCUUUGCACGGUCAAUAUACCGCGGCCAUUCAAGCACUCAGUGGGCAGGUCAGACUUGAAAUUAUAAUCAACAAGACAUGUUUU